rnacentral:lncRNA from 1 species
GGCAAAUUAUGUAGUUGCCAGUUAAAAUGUUAUAUGAAGGACUCAAAAAGGAAGAUUGGUAAAAUUAGAGAGCUAACUUUAUUAAGAAUGGGUUUGCUGAAGAGAUAACCUUGAGCCUGAGAACCUGGAAUAGAAGAAACUAGGUCUUUUUCAAGGAGUAGGAAGAUCAUUAUUUUAGCAGAGACAAUUGAAUGUGUGUAGAACCUGAGGCAAUAGUUUCUUUAUUUUAGGAACUGAAAGUGCACUAGCAGGGCUUGGUGACACAAGCCUGUAAUCCCAGCAGCUCUGGAGGCUUAGGCAGGAAGAUCACAAAUUCAAGGCAAACCUCAGCAAUUUAGCCUGGCUUUAAGCAACUUAGUGAGAUCCUGUCUCAAAAUAAAAAGGGCUGGGUAUGUGGCUCAGUGAUAAAGCACUCCCGAGUUCAAUUCCUGGCUCAAAAAAAAAAAAAAAAAGAACCCACAAAAAAUAUUGAAAGUACACGAGCCAACUAGUAAGAUUGGGUGGGGAUGGGAACUAGAAAGGAAGGUAAGAGAGAAAAAGGAGAGAAAUUAAGAACAAUCUGUAGGUUUCUGGUUUAUGUAAGUGAAUGAGUGAUACUAUUACAUACUGAAGUGGAGGAAGAGUGUGUGUGCUUAAGGUCAGGAGAAAGUACAGCUGUGUUUUGAGAGCAUUUGGGCAAAGAAAAGGUCAGUCAAAGUAAUUAAAAUAGUUGCCACAUUAAAGUAAGAAUCCACAGAAAAGCAACUUUAUUGCUGAGAAAUUUAGAAUAUUCCUGAGAUAUAAUAAAAUUUAGGGAGCAAAACAGAAUUAUAAACAAUCACCAAGGUUAUCAAGGAUUAAGAGGAAAACAAUCUACUGGGGUGGGGGAUAU